rnacentral:rRNA from 1 species
GACGAACGCUGGCGGCGUGCUUAACACAUGCAAGUCGAGCGGAGGGGCGAACGGGUGAGUAAGAGGAGAGUAACGGCCCCCCUCUCUGGGAUAAGAGUUGGAAACGGCUGCUAAUACUAGAAAGUGGGGGAUGACUUGCGUUCUAGCAGCUUGUUGGUGGGGUAGUGGCCUCCCAAAGCGACGACGGGUAGCCGGCCUGUGAGGGCGACCGGCCCCAUAGGGCUGGGACACGGGCCAGACUCCUACGGGAGGCAGCGGUGGGGAAUAUUGGGCAAUGGGCGCAGUGCGUACCCAGCAUCGCCGCGUGAAGGAAGACGGUCUUCGGAUUGUAAACUUCUUUCGGCCAUGACGCGGUAGUGGCAGAAGAAGCACCGGCUAACUACGUGCCAGCAGCCGCGGUAAUUC